rnacentral:rRNA from 1 species
CCUACGGGUGGCUGCAGUGGGGAAUAUUGGACAAUGGGGGCAACCCUGAUCCAGCCAUGCCGCGUGUGUGAAGAAGGCCCUCGGGUUGUAAAGCACUUUCAGUGAGGAAGAACGCCUGGUGGUUAAUACCCAUCAGGAAAGACAUCACUCACAGAAGAAGCACCGGCUAACUCCGUGCCAGCAGCCGCGGUAAUACGGAGGGUGCGAGCGUUAAUCGGAAUUACUGGGCGUAAAGCGCGCGUAGGUGGCUUGAUAAGCCGGUUGUGAAAGCCCCGGGCUCAACCUGGGAACGGCAUCCGGAACUGUCAAGCUAGAGUGCAGGAGAGGAAGGUAGAAUUCCCGGUGUAGCGGUGAAAUGCGUAGAGAUCGGGAGGAAUACCAGUGGCGAAGGAGGCCUUCUGGACUGACACUGACACUGAGGUGCGAAAGCGUGGGUAGCAAACAGGAUUAGAUACCCUAGUAGUC